rnacentral:lncRNA from 1 species
CGUGGACAAUAUAGAAGAAAAGGCCACACUUUUAAGCGUAGCUGAUAAGGCAACACUUUUAAGCGUAGACUUUGCUUUUAAGCAUAGCUGAUAAGACAACACUUUUAAGCGUAGGUACAAAAUCUUGACUAUUUUGCCUUUUAGGCUAUGCUUUUAAUCGUAGCUGAUAAGGUAACACUAAAGUGUUGCCUAAACUCUAAGGUAAUGCCUCUUUCAGCCACCCCUGGAAAAGUGUUGCUUAAAGUCUAAAUGUGUAGCCUUUUACCAAAGGCCACACAUUUUGAUUGCUUAGGCUACACUUUACUGACGUUGUCAUAGGCAUAAAAUGUUAUAGUGUGUAAGCCUAAAACUAUACCAUUACAAUAAAAUGCUGAAAUUUUUAUAAUACAACCCCACAACUACAACCUUCUUAAAAUUAUCCCAACCCAACAGUUGAUAAUGCACAUAGCACACAACUUAACAACAACACUCUAAUAUUUCUCAACAACAAGCUCAAUAUUCAUCGAUCAAAGUUCCACAGAAAGACACUCACAAGAUCACAACACACAAUAUAAAGUUUAGCAAUGCUAAAAAUGUGCAAUGCAAUUAAAUGCAAUGUCAAGUAUAGUGAUGCAUGUCCACCCUAACGAUACACACCCGCUGUCUUUUAGUCUGGGACAAAUUGGAGACAUAUCUGUCCAUGUAUCUAUUGUGGCGUGCAAUAUGACCCUCAGUAUAUAGUAUCCAUCAUGGUGUUCAUAGGUUUCUCGAAAUAUAGUUACCACUCGUGACACAUGGUAUGUCCCUCGAAAUAUAGUAUCCACCGCGGCACACCAUAUGUCUGUCAAAAUGAUAUAUCCUCUUGUCACAUAACACUUUUCACAAUCAUAUCUCAAAAUCAAUGUAAAUGAUACGUUCAUAAAAAUAAUGAGAAGAUUACCAUUUUAAUACCAAUGCACACAUCACAACAAUACAACCGUGAUACAACAUAAACAAUUAGAUAAUAAGUCUUUCAAAUCAUUCACAAAACAUCACACACUAAUAAUUAAUAUCAUCAUUACCCACUAAUGAUGUAACCCAAUCAGUAUAUUAUUCAUUGAAAAUCAUUUUUUACUAAAUUACUGCUAACCAUCACUCAUCAGUUAAUUCCUCACCCCUUAUUAUCAUUGGUUAAUGAUUGUGUACAUUAAAACCUUGCCCCAGAUAAACUUUGAAACACUACGGAUUCGUUAACUUUAAAACCUACACUUCUUAUCUAAUCUCUUUUAAUAAGAAUUGAAUUAUAUCUUUUAUAUAUACAGCAGUAAAAUAAUUGUAUGCAGGCACACACAUGAAAAUUUUCUUACCAGGAGGUCGUCCUCUUCAUUGCAGAUGCGGCAAGCACACACUUUUUAGGGUAGUUUUU